rnacentral:snoRNA from 1 species
ACCCUUUAGUAGUCUACAAGCGUCAUGGUAGCCUGUUCACGCACACUUGUGAGAUGUGCCUCUUGUUUGUUGGUGUGUUACCCCUCUGACA